UACGUAGGGGGCAAGCGUUGUCCGGAAUCAUUGGGCGUAAAGAGCGUGUAGGCGGCCCGAUAAGUCCGUCGUGAAAGUCCAGGGCUCAACCCUGGGAUGCCGGUGGAAACUGUCGGGCUAGAGUCCGGAAGAGGCGAGUGGAGUUCCUGGUGUAGCGGUGAAAUGCGCAGAUAUCAGGAGGAACACCGAUGGCGAAGGCAGCUCGCUGGGACGGUACUGACGCUGAGACGCGAAAGCGUGGGGAGCGAACAGG
rnacentral:rRNA from 1 species